rnacentral:rRNA from 1 species
AUUGAACGCUGGCGGCAGGCUUAACACAUGCAAGUCGAGCGGGGGAAGGUAGCUUGCUACCUAACCUAGCGGCGGACGGGUGAGUAAUGCUUAGGAAUCUGCCUAUUAGUGGGGGACAACAUUUCGAAAGGGAUGCUAAUACCGCAUACGCCCUAAGGGGGAAAGCAGGGGAUCUUCGGACCUUGCGCUAAUAGAUGAGCCUAAGUCGGAUUAGCUAGUUGGUGGGGUAAAGGCCUACCAAGGCGACGAUCUGUACCGGGUCUGAGAGGAUGAUCCGCCACACUGGGACAGGGACACGGGCCAAACUCCCACGGGGGGGAGCAGUGGGGAAUAUGGGACAAUGGGGGGAACCGUGUGCCAGCCAUGCCGUGUGUGUGAAGAAGGCCUUUUGGUUGUAAAGCACGUUAAGCGAGGAGGAGGCUACCGGGAUUAAUACUCUUGGAUAGUGGACGUUACUCGCAGAAUAAGCACCGGCUAACUCUGUGCCAGCAGCCGCCGUAACUC